AUGGAUGUGAUGAUUAUUUCCCCACAUGAUCGAAGCUGAAUAUACUGUGCUAUUAUUACGUAUUUCUCCAAAUUUUGAGAAAUUCAAGCCAGAAAUCUGAUCCGC